rnacentral:rRNA from 1 species
GAUCCUGGCUCAGGAUGAACGCUGGCGGCGUGCUUAACACAUGCAAGUCGAACGGGAAUUACUUUAUUGAAACUUCGGUCGAUUUAAUUUAAUUCUAGUGGCGGACGGGUGAGUAACGCGUGGGUAACCUGCCUUGUACAGGGGGAUAACAGUCAGAAAUGACUGCUAAUACCGCAUAAGCGCACAGGACCGCAUGGUCCGGUGUGAAAAACUCCGGUGGUAUAAGAUGGAUCCGCGUUGGAUUAGCUAGUUGG